ACAUGCUUACAACAUAGCGUUAAUGCAUCGAAUCUCAUUAGAACUCUGUCGUUAAGAACACUCAGGCUAGAGUAGCGAUGGGAUGGGUGAUCACUCGAUAAGUCCUAGUAUUUUGCAUGCC
rnacentral:rRNA from 1 species